rnacentral:rRNA from 1 species
UGGGGAAUAUUGGACAAUGGGGGGAACCCUGAUCCAGCCAUGCCGCGUGUGUGAAGAAGGCCUUAUGGUUGUAAAGCACUUUAAGCGAGGAGGAGGGUACUGGUAUUAAUACUACCAGGUACUGGACGUUACUCGCAGAAUAAGCACCGGCUAACUCUGUGCCAGCAGCCGCGGUAAUACAGAGGGUGCGAGCGUUAAUCGGAUUUACUGGGCGUAAAGCGUGCGUAGGCGGCUAAUUGAGUCGGAUGUGAAAUCCCCGAGCUUAACUUGGGAAUUGCAUUCGAUACUGGUUAGCUAGAGUGUGGGAGAGGAUGGUAGAAUUCCAGGUGUAGCGGUGAAAUGCGUAGAGAUCUGGAGGAAUACCGAUGGCGAAGGCAGACAUCUGGCCUAACACUGACGCUGAGGUACGAAAGCAUGGGGAGCAAACAGG